AUACAAGUCAUUGACAGUUAAAGGCAGUGUCCGUCUCUAGAUGAUCGUCCUCAAUAAAACUAUUUGUGAAUCAAAUCUUACUUUGAACAAAUGAAUCAACUUAUUGGUAUUCUAAUGCAAUGACGGUCAAUCCAUGUGUGUGUUUGGACAGGACUAGUGUUUCUUCGACACACAGAGCUGAAACAGCCUCUCGAUCACAGUUAAACCACACUCUGAAAAGCAGAAGUGUGUGUGUGUGUGUGUGUGUGUGUGUGUGUGUGUGUGUGUGUGUGUGUGUGUGUGUGAGAGCUCUUAUCAGCCAGAGCUGCAGGAAAAUCACUGGCCUGAAAUUACUCUCUACUCAAAUGGGAUGUUUUCCUUGCUUUUUGCAUAUCUGCAGAAACCAGGAGUGCGCUGGGGCUUAAUGCUUCUGUUUAACAGAUAAAGUUACAGAGAGAUCUGCAAAACAAGAGGAAGUCAUUUCCCAGAAAGUUCUAGAGCAGCUAUAUCAACUAAACACAGAUUCUCAUUAAAGUAAGCCACACUGUCUUAGCAACACUUCUAUUCUGAAUGAACUCUUGUAUUCAACUCACAUGACUGAAUACAUUGAGUAGUUUCAAGAGCCUGACCAGAUUCACUUUUUCUUGCAACUUAAUAUCAGAUCUCAUUUAAGAGAGAGAGAAGUGAACACAGUAACUGUGAAAACAUUUUAGUUUAGCAAAUCAAAUGAUGAAUGUAUUGAAUGUUUUCUCACAGUAUCACAACACUCUUCUGCGCACACACACACACACACACACACACACACAGUAAACAGAUCAGAGAUGAUCUCAGCAGGGCAGUGUGCACAUGAUCACUCAUGACGAGUUUUAUAUCAUCGCCAUCAAUUCCUCACGUCUUCACCACACCCAGCGCGACUCGCGCCAAAUCUCUGGAUUUUGCAACAUUGUCAAAUACUUGAAAUAUUUGAAUGUUCGAAACGUUCCAACUGACACUUUGCCGCGUCUGGAUUUUUUAAACUGUGUAUAACGCAUUAAUGCGCCAUAAGAAUUCAUGAGACUGCGCUUACUACACACACACACACACACACACACACACACA